rnacentral:rRNA from 1 species
CGUACACUCCUACGGGAGGCAGCAGUGGGGAAUAUUGGACAAUGGGCGCAAGCCUGAUCCAGCCAUGCCGCGUGAGUGAUGAAGGCCCUAGGGUUGUAAAGCUCUUUCACCGGUGAAGAUAAUGACGGUAACCGGAGAAGAAGCCCCGGCUAACUUCGUGCCAGCAGCCGCGGUAAUACGAAGGGGGCUAGCGUUGUUCGGAUUUACUGGGCGUAAAGCGCACGUAGGCGGACUAUUAAGUCAGGGGUGAAAUCCCGGGGCUCAACCCCGGAACUGCCUUUGAUACUGGUAGUCUUGAGUUCGAGAGAGGUGAGUGGAAUUCCGAGUGUAGAGGUGAAAUUCGUAGAUAUUCGGAGGAACACCAGUGGCGAAGGCGGCUCACUGGCUCGAUACUGACGCUGAGGUGCGAAAGCGUGGGGAGCAAACAGGAUUAGAUACCCGUGUAGUCCCAU